AAAGAUUAAAGAAAAUUUGAAACUGGGACCUAAUUUGUCUUGAUAAACUUUGGUGUUUAAUAUGCUUCUUUUGUUCUCAGUGUGAAACUGCAGGGUUUUGAUUUGUAAAAACUUUUUGAAGAAUUAAUUCUUUCUAAUUUUUAUUCCUUUCUUUUCUUUCCUUGUACUCAGAGACAGUGGAGUUGACCUUCAAACCAUAACACUUUUAAAUAUCUGUGAAUAUACAAGGUUAAAUCUAUUAGUGGUCUGAGAUUAGCUGUUCUGCACUUCCAAAGUGUGUACCUUCUGCAGCAAAUUUUAUCUCCCGGUGAAUGAUAACGAGCUUACAUCCACCCUACAAGUUUUCAACAAAUAAUGGGAUAUGUGUUUUCACUGGGACCGCCUUCGCUUUCUCAACUCCUCACUCUCCUACCCACUGACUACAUCAGCUCCUGGCUGCUCUCUGCCAGCUAAGGCACACAGGCUGCCAAAUAGCUUCCUGCUCAAAGAUCUCUGCAUCCUCUCUGUGCCACGGGCCAUCACCCUGCAGCUCCAAUGUUUUUUUCCCCAGAACAGUGAUAUGGAAGGAUGUCAUGCUUUGAGCUGA
rnacentral:lncRNA from 1 species